UCCCCGGUAGCUCAGUUGGUAGAGCAGCCGGCUGUUAACCGGCUGUCUCUUAUACAGAGUCCUGCCCGGGGAGCCA
rnacentral:tRNA from 1 species